rnacentral:rRNA from 1 species
CCUACGGGAGGCAGCAGUGGGGAAUAUUGGUCAAUGGACGAGAGUCUGAACCAGCCAAGUAGCGUGAAUGAUGACUGCCCUAUGGGUGUUAAACUUCUUUUAUAUAGUAAUAAAAUUUUCCACGUGUGGGAUUUUGUAUGUACCAUAUGAAUAAGGAUCGGCUAACUCCGUGCCAGCAGCCGCGGUAAUACGGAGGAUCCGAGCGUUAUCCGGAUUUAUUGGGUUUAAAGGGAGCGUAGGUGGAUUGUUAAGUCAUUUGUGAAAGUUUGCGGCUCAACCGUAAAAUUGCAGUUGAAACUGGUAAUCUUGAGUACAGUAGAGGGGGGCGGAAUUCGUGGUGUAGCGGUGAAAUGCGUAGAUAUGAGGAGGAACUCCGAUGGCGAAGGCAGCUCACUGGACUGAAACUGACGCUGAGGCUCGAAAGUGUGGGUAGCAAACAGGAUUAGAUACCCCUGUAGUC